rnacentral:ncRNA from 1 species
UCGCAUCCGCCAUCCGGUUCAGCCGUGUCGCGGAAGGUUUCUCAAACCAGCCAAUGCCUCCCGCAGGGAGGCGGAAAGUAUGCG